GACGAACGCUGGCGGCGUGCCUAAUACAUGCAAGUAGAACGCUGAAGGAGGAGCUUGCUUCUCCGGAUGAGUUGCGAACGGGUGAGUAACGCGUAGGUAACCUGCCUGGUAGCGGGGGAUAACUAUUGGAAACGAUAGCUAAUACCGCAUAACAGUAGAUAUUGCAUGAUAUCUGCUUGAAAGGUGCAAUUGCAUUACUACCAGAUGGACCUGCGUUGUAUUAGCUAGUUGGUGGGGUAACGGCUCACCAAGGCGACGAUACAUAGCCGACCUGAGAGGGUGAUCGGCCACACUGGGACUGAGACACGGCCCAGACUCCUACGGGAGGCAGCAGUAGGGAAUCUUCGGCAAUGGACGGAAGUCUGACCGAGCAACGCCGCGUGAGUGAAGAAGGUUUUCGGAUCGUAAAGCUCUGUUGUAAGAGAAGAACGAGUGUGAGAGUGGAAAGUUCACACUGUGACGGUAUCUUACCAGAAAGGGACGGCUAACUACGUG
rnacentral:rRNA from 1 species